CGGGGAUUCAAGGGUUACCUUGUGUUGGUAAAAUUAUGAUUAAAUGACUGAACAAAUCAUUUUAAAUGGAACUGUAACUAAGUAAACUUAUACUCUGUUUUAUUAUAUCUGAUUAACAAUAUGAGUUCAUACGAUGGUAAGACAGUGAGUGCAUUCCUAAGUUUUCUGUUAAUUAGAACUGUCAGCUCAGUGGUGAUCGAUAAUGUUGAGGGGUCAAAAGUUACCUGGGAGUGUGUUAGUAAGUUAGAAUGAACUUUUCACCUCACUUUGUCCCGGUCGAGAGGAGGGGAUUCUGUUAAAGCAAUGAAAUGAUGUCAUGAUUUGUAUAUAAACUGUUGCUCGUGGUGAAAUGGGAGCGCGCUCUGAGAAUAAAUUCUGUUACCUAUUAUUUAAAAAGACUGGUCUCCUUCUAUUUUAUGCAAACAAGAAUCUUACAAAUUCUCAUAAAAUAGAUUAAGGGUAUUCAAUUAAUGAAAGCACAUUGGCAUAAUUAAAUUAUAUUAACACCUUGUGACCAAGGACUGCCGGGGGUUCAAAGGGGGAACCUGGAGAGCCCAGUCCCAAAGGAAGCCAAGUACAAAACAACACGUGUGUUUAGUCCUUUUGCUUUUUAGAUGUGUUCAUGACUUAUAUUUUAAGAAACAGCAGUUAAUGGUGUUUUCAUUUUUCAUCGUCACCCUCCCAUUCUCUUUCUCUGGGGUGAGAGGGGGAAUAACGGUGUGCCUGAGACCCCUGGGACAAGCGGUGAAACUGGGCUCAGAGGCAGCAAAGGAGAGGUCUACAGGCUGCUCGUUAUGGCGCACACCUGUUACCAUCGUUACGCGCACCUGCACGUCGUCAGACUCACCUGGACUCCAUCACUUCGUUGAUUACCUGCCCUAUAUAUGUCACUCCCUUUGGUUCCUUCCCCAGUCGUCAUUGUUUCUGUUUCAUGUCUGUGUGUGUGUUGUCCAAGGUUCUUGUUUUGUAUUAUGUUCUGUUUGUUUUCUUAAACAUUUUUGCGUUUUUUUUUUUUUGGUCAGGCUCUCAUGCCUCAGCCAGAUCGACAGGCUCAGGAUCGUCCCUUGGGUUGGCAUCCUGCGGCUGGUGCCGAACACGCCGGGGAGGGGGUACCGUCAGUUAUGCUCUCUCUCCGGCUCUCUAGGUCGCCAUGCUCCUGCGUCUCAGCCGGAUAGAGUUUCCUGUGCCUCUGCAGAGGUGUCCGGUCCGCUCCUGUUCUCCGGGAUCGUCACUUUGGGUGGCGUUCUGCAGCUGGAGCCGCACGUCGGGAAGGGGGAAGGGGAUACUGUCAUGUGUGCUCCCUCUCCGACCUCUAGGUCACCAGGCUGCUCGUUAAGGCGAGGUUCUUGUUUUGUAUUAUGUUCUGUUUUAUUUUAUUAAAACACUCACUCUCUGAACUUGCUUCCCGACUCUAAGUGCACGUCGUUACUCACUCUCUCACACACUCACACACAGUAUCUUCUGUUUUGCAUUUGAGUAUAUGCAAUGACCCC
ensembl:lncRNA